rnacentral:snoRNA from 1 species
GCCCAAAGCAGAGCAUUGUCAGAAUACAGACUUUGUGGUCAGACAGUCCUAGGCUUGCAUCCUGGCUCUACCACUGCUUUGGGCAAGUUACCUGACCUCACUGAGCCUCAGUUUCUCCUCUGUGAAGUGGAGGUAAUGCUUUUCUUGAAGUAGUAUUACGCAGCU